CGUCAGCUCGUGUCGUGAGAUGUUGGGUUAAGUCCCGUAACGAGCGCAACCCUUGUCCUUAGUUACCAGCACGUUAUGGUGGGCACUCUAAGGAGACUGCCGGUGCAAACCGGAGGAAGGUGGGGAUGACGUCAAGUCAUCAUGGCCCUUACGGCCUGGGCUACACACGUGCUACAAUGGUCGGUACAAAGGGUUGCCAAGCCGCGAGGUGGAGCUAAUCCCAUAAAACCGAUCGUAGUCCGGAUCGCAGUCUGCAACUCGACUGCGUGAAGUCGGAAUCGCUAGUAAUCGUGAAUCAGAAUGUCACGGUGAAUACGUUCCCGGGCCUU
rnacentral:rRNA from 1 species